rnacentral:rRNA from 1 species
UACGUAGGGGGCAAGCGUUGUCCGGAUUUACUGGGUGUAAAGGGCGCGCAGGUGGGCUUGAUAGUUAGAGGUGAAAUGCUGUGGCUUAACUGCAGAACUGCCUUUAAUACUUCAAGUCUUGAGUGCGGAAGAGAGAGACGGAAUUCCAGGUGUAGUAGUGAAAUACGUAGAUAUCUGGAAGAACACCAGUUGCGAAGGCGGUCUCUUGGUCCGUAACUGACACUUAGGCGCGAAAGCGUGGGGAGCAAACAGG